AUAAUAAUGCUACACCCCGCCCAAUCCAGUGCUCCUUGGGUUGAUCUGAGGGAAGAGUCAUGGCAAUCACAAAAUUCGUAGAAUGACCAGUGGUGGAUAACGUUCCCCUCCGCUCACUUGUCUUAUACAACGGAGCGACGUAACUCGGUCGUUCUGGUAUAUCUGUCCUCUUGCAGGGCUUCAGCCACAUCUGGAAGAAAGUGCAUAAAACUUCAAGUCAACAGCGCUAAUCUUUAUGUUUGAACCUAACAGUGGGGUAUUGUUAAGUCAGUUCUAUAUCUGGACAUUUCUAUGGCCCAGAUAGAUUUUUUGUUAGCAGUGCUGCCAUUUUCAGGCUAUUUAGUGUGCAGUUGUUUUAGCAUUUUUUUAAAUUGAAGUAUAAUUAACAGUGUUGUAUUAGUUUCAGGUAUACAACAAAAUGAUAUGACAAUUCUGUACCAUCACUCAGUGCUCAACAAGUGCAUCCAUGUUGCUGUAAAUGGUCUCUCGUCUGUAUGGGAGGAUACAUGGAGGAUCUCCCUCUAGACUGUAAUGUCAUACACUGACUGCUGAGGAGGAACACGGAGGAGGACGCCACUGAAACUCCAAUCAGUUCUGGGACUGUCCUUUUGGCAUAAAACCUCAGGACUUGAAUAUAGAUCUAUGCACACGGAAACACUCAUCAUAAUGGUUGCACGGAUGGGAAGGAAGCAGUGUGGCACCCAGAGACCUAGGUCUUCGUUCCUAAUUUUUGCAAUACAGGCCCUAUGGAAGGCACAAGAUCUAAAAGGACAGUCAAACCCAAGAAGAUCAAUGGGGAUGGUGUGUUUCCUGGCAUAGUUCUGCUGGGCACCGGUCAGGAAGGCUUGUGUGAAGAAGAAGCCAGAAAGCCAGAAGACUGGAGGAGGGCCAACCUCAUACCAUUGCUGUGGUGUCAAAGCACACAUGUUCUCAGGCAGUAGCCUUUCAACUUCGAAUACAACACUGCUUAAUAAAAUUGACUCCCCAAGGCA